AACCAUACAAUUUAGGAGAAAAACAAAACACUCAUCAUAAAUGGGGAAUGACAAGCUCUAUUAACACAGCAAAGGCUUUAACCUCAGCAUCAAUAGAAAUAUAGAAUAUAAUGAUGUUGACAAUUGGCUUUGUCACAACUCAGGCACGACAUAUCUAAAGUGACUACAAACACUUAACACGAUAUGAAAAUCAACCCUGAAUGGUCCAAAGAAUUGAACAAAAAUCGACAAAAAAAUCGAGCAUUCAUCAAACUAUAGAGGACGACAACAAAACUAUCCCUAAAAUCAUUUGUAAAACUAAGAUUAUGUGAAUAAGCAAUACUAAAAACCGUACUACAAGAACAGACAAAAACUUCUAAAAUUGAAGACUUAUUAAACAUUGGAAAAACAAACAGCAACAAAAAAACAUAUAAAACUUAAGACAACACAAGUCCAAAUUGACUCGUGAAAUCAUUUAUUAUUUUGAAAUAUUCUCAAAACACAUAUUAAAAAACUGACGAAGAGCCAUCCACUUUCCAAGAAAAACUACUGGUGACCGGUGAAAUUUUAGCGAAUGACAGGAAUCGUCUUCUAUUUAUCAUAACUUGUAAAGGCAACAAAAAUACCUACAAAAUAGAUUCUCAAACUAAAAAAGAGAAAAGACGUGUGAAGUAAAUGAGAAGAAGAAAGAAAGAAAGAGUUAAUGGGAGAGGAAAAAAGUGAGAGUGAUAGCCAACCCGAAAACAGACACCAUCAUCACUGAGCAAAACAAAGAUAAAACACAAACCGCUUCCAAAAAUGUCAUUUUCUUUUGUAAAUUCGCAUGGCUUUUUUUUUUCUUUCAUUUAAAAUUCUAUAUUUAUAAAUGAAAGGAAGUUACCUUCCCUGUCUAUAUAGUAACUACCAGGGACAGUUUUUUCUAUAUAUAACUUCCAUUUUUGAAUGUCUUUUUUAUAACUACCAAAUACCAAUCGGUAAUUUUAUUAUAAUUUCAAAUGGAUCCGACCUAACUUUGAUUAUAUCCCAAUGAAUCCAACAUUGAAGUUGGUUAUUUUUUAGCAAAUCAGAUAUGUCCUUGAAAGAUACAGAUUGUAAGAGGGCCAAUUAUAGUAAUGAGAAAUUAGAUAUUUUAAAAUAUGUAUUGGGAUCAAAAUAAAUUCAUGUUUAUGUGUUUAUGUUAUUUCUAUCUUUCAAAUAUUUAUAAAUUUAUGUAAGUUUUAAGCGUUAAUAAAUUAUGGGUAAAGUACCUAUUUAGUCAUCUAAGUUUAUCCGUGUUCUUAUUUUGGUCACCCAUUUCAAAAAUUUGUUAUUUUAGUCAUUUCCGUUAGAUAGGUUGUCAAUUUUAGUCACUCCUAUUAGAUAAGUUAUCAAUUUUAGUAGCUUCACCGUUAAAUGCCUUUGGUCACCAAACAAAAUGCUGACGUGUUUGUCUUUUGAUUGGUAUAAUAAUAAAUUUAGCCCUUAACACUUUGCAUAUUUUAUCAAUUUGGUCCUAAUUAUAAAUUUUUUAAAUAAAUUUAACCCUCAAUAUUUGUACACUUUGCAUAUUUUACAGAAUUGUUGUAUUAUUUUUUCUGAUUUGGCACGUGUAUGGAAUAGGUCCGAUAAAUCAUUAGAACGUAAGUAAUAUAAUUAAGAUAAUAACAGUAUUUUUAUAAUAUGUCAAUUAAUUAGUUUAGCUUAGUUGGUUAAGAUGCUUGCUCUUUUACCUUAGUACCUUGGUUCAAAUCUUGUUGGUAAUAAUUUUAAAUCUUUUUUGUACUUGUUGCAUUUAUUUUUUUAAUCAAUUAACUGGGCCCAUUUCGGUAAAUUUUAAAAAAAUAGGGCUUUUUAGGUAUUUUACCCAGUUAAUUGAUUAAAAAAAUAAAUGCAACAAAUACAAAAAAAAAUUCAAAUAAAUGCAAUAAUUCUGUAAAAAAAAUCCGGUGUUUACUUCAAAUAAAUAAGGAAAAUAAUGAUUUGAAUGUUUCAAAAUUCAAUUUUAAACCGAAAAAAUUAAAAUUUAGAGGUAAGAAAGGAUCUUUUUCGACAAAAACUGCGGCAAACCACCUUCUGCUGUUUGUCAGCGAGUAGAUCUUGAAAAGUUAUUCGAAAUAAAAAAAAUCGUCUCAAUCGGACAACCAAGCGAAAAGUUAUGGCUUUUCAAAGUUUUCCAAACUAAAAAACAUAAACUGUUCAUCCCACGUUAGCAAAUCGCGUUCUAGAGGGAGCGAUUUGCUUCCACGUCAGCAACUCGCGCUGACGUGGGCGCGAUUUCCUAGCACGUACCCUGACAUCGCCCUGACGUGGACGCGAUUUCGCGGAAAAUGGACAAUUCCGGUAAAUAAUUAAAUAAUGGGCCCAUUUCAGUAAUUUUUGAAAAAAAGGGCUUUUAUUGGUAAAUUGCCCAAAGUUUUAUAAUCUAAUUAUAUAUUUUUUUAAUAUUUAUAUUUUUUCUUUUUAUAAUAAAUAAUAUAUGUAUUCAAGUUCUUAAAAUUACAACUUUUUAGAAUUUGGAUUAAAUUGACAAAAUGUGUAAACAUUGAGGGUUAAAUUUGCUAAUUUUUUUUAGAAUUAGGACCAAUUUGAUAGAAUAUGCAAAGUGUUAAGGGAUAAAUUUGUUAGUAUGCCAAUCAAAAGACUUCCGUGUCAGCAUUUCGUCUAAUGACCAAAAGCAUUUAAUGAUAGAGUGACUAAAAUUGACAACUUAUUUAACUGAAGAGACUAAAAUAACUUAUUUUUUAAAUGGAUACCAAAAUAAAAAUACUGGUAAACUUGAGUGACUAAAUAGAUAGUUUACCCAUAAUUUAUUCAUGCUGAUGUUUCCAUUUUUGUGUAUCUAUGAUACUGAAAUUUUUUUUUGCUUAUGUUCGUGUUUUUUUUUUGUAUUCAUGGUAUUAUAGAUGUAAACCUUUCCAUUUUGAUGAAUAGGUUAGUGUCCUCAAAAAUGACAAUUCGAAAAUUUAUUUUGGAGGAGCUGAUUCCCCUUAACAAUAAAUGGGUUAGGGUAUAUGAUACCACUUGAGCUGCGUAUCUCAAGUGGUACCAUAUACCCCAACAUGUGACCUAUAUACCAAAUAUUAGAGGUUUGAAUCUCAUUAAGGUUGAGACACUUACGUUGUAUCUUGGCGGGUGGCCAUAUGUUCAUUUACUAUCGAGGUGCCCUCUCUGUGAAUCGCAAACGGCUUGUCGCCCGGGGGUUCAAAAUCCACCCAGGGAACAAUAUAUUCCAUUGUUGAGGGAUUAGAUUGGCGUCCCCGAUGAUGACACUUCAAAAACUUUUCUCGAAUGAGCCAAUCCUCCCUUACAAUAAAAACCUAUACGAGGACAUAUGGUCGAGGCGCCCCCUCCAUGAAUUGUACACGGCUCUCCAUAAAGGGAGACAAAACCUUCCCUUAAUGAAUAAUACCUUUCAUUGUUGAGGGAUCAUGUUGACAUCGCCGAAAACGACACAUCAAAUAUUUCUUCCGGAAGAGCAAAUCCCCUUCAUCGAUUAUGAAAUUUUUUAAACCUUUAUGUUUCACUUAGUAAUACAUUUU
rnacentral:lncRNA from 1 species